UUCCAGUUCGGUAGAAGGACAGGUUAUAGGAGGCAAUCCAGGAAAUCUCGAUGCAAAGCGACUGCUGUAGUCCGGGACUCCUUGCUGCGGUCCUUCUAUCAACGAUCCAUCGAUAUCCGGACUUUUCGAUAAUUUUUGCUACAAUGUCAUUGCACGGUGGUAAAUUUAUCAUUUAACUGAACAGAAAUCAAAUCAAAUCGACCUGUCUGCGCAUCAACGUCCGGAUUUUGCGUAAAUCGCCGUGUACAAGCGCAAAAUAAACAGCGCUCGGCGCACAGGAAAAGCGCAGCAUCAGCAUCGUUACCGCUCCUCGUGCGUCAAUCUCCGCGCCUCAUUGUCGAUAGAUUAAGGCAGAUUAGGCGAACCUACUUUCGGAUUACGCCGCCGUCUUUCUGUCUUAUGGAACCGUGAUGUAGAGUAUGGAGGGUACCCGAGGAACAUUGCAUCAAUUAUCAGCGACAUAUCGGUGAGUUUGUAGUUAAUUUUUCCCUGGGCGAGAAUUUAACAUCCAGAGAUGCCCGAGGUC